rnacentral:lncRNA from 1 species
CGAAUUUUAGAAUAGUUUGAUAACCAUGUAAGUAUAGGAUACUGACUUGAACAUCUCCGAAUUCUCUAAUCACAUCAAUGGACCAGGCCAUAACAACAUACCUCUUCACCAGGAUCUUGUUUUUUCACAGCAUUUGACAUCACC